rnacentral:rRNA from 1 species
AGCAUAUCAAUAAGCGGAGGAAAAGAAACCAACAGGGAUUGCCCUAGUAACGGCGAGUGAAGCGGCAACAGCUCAAAUUUGAAAUCUGGCGCAAGCCCGAGUUGUAAUUUGUAGAGGAUGCUUCUGGGUAGCGACCGAUCUAAGUUCCUUGGAACAGGACGUCAUAGAGGGUGAGAAUCCCGUAUGUGACCGGCCCGCACCCUUUACGUAGCUCCUUCGACGAGUCGAGUUGUUUGGGAAUGCAGCUCUAAAUGGGAGGUAAAUUUCUUCUAAAGCUAAAUACCGGCCAGAGACCGAUAGCGCACAAGUAGAGUGAUCGAAAGAUGAAAAGUACUUUGGAAAGAGAGUUAAAAAGCACGUGAAAUUGUUGAAAGGGAAGCGCCUGCAACCAGACUUCGCGGCAGUGUUCCGCCGGUCUUCUGACCGGUUCAUUCUCUGUCGCGAGGCCAUCAUCGUCUGGGCCCGCCGGAUAAGACCUGAGGAAUGUGGCUCCCCCUCGGGGGAGUGUUAUAGCCUCUGGUGAUGCGGCGUGGCUCGGGCGAGGUCCGCGCUUCGGCAAGGAUGAUGGCGUAAUGGUUGUCGGCGGCCCGUCUUGAAACACGGACCAAGGAGUCUAACAUCUAUGCGAGUGUUCGGGUGUCAAACCCCUACGCGUAAUGAAAGUGAACGGAGGUGGGAACCGCAAGGUGCACCAUCGACCGAUCCUGAUGUCCUCGGAUGGAUUUGAGUAAGAGCAUAGCUGUUGGGACCCGAAAGAUGGUGAACUAUGCCUGAAUAGGGUGAAGCCAGAGGAAACUCUGGUGGAGGCUCGCAGCGGUUCUGACGUGCAAAUCGAUCGUCAAAUUUGGGUAUAGG